rnacentral:rRNA from 2 species
GUGGGGAAUAUUGGACAAUGGGCGCAAGCCUGAUCCAGCCAUGCCGCGUGAGUGAUGAAGGCCCUAGGGUUGUAAAGCUCUUUCGCACGUGACGAUAAUGACGGUAGCGUGAGAAGAAGCCCCGGCUAACUUCGUGCCAGCAGCCGCGGUAAUACGAAGGGGGCUAGCGUUGUUCGGAAUCACUGGGCGUAAAGCGCACGUAGGCGGAUACUUAAGUCAGGGGUGAAAUCCCGGGGCUCAACCUCGGAACUGCCUUUGAUACUGGGUAUCUUGAGUCCGGGAGAGGUUGGUGGAACUGCGAGUGUAGAGGUGAAAUUCGUAGAUAUUCGCAAGAACACCAGUGGCGAAGGCGGCCAACUGGCCCGGUACUGACGCUGAGGUGCGAAAGCGUGGGGAGCAAACAGGAUUAGAUACCCGAGUAGUCC